UUUUUUUUUAGGUAAAAUUAUAAAUUUGGUCUCUUACUUUAUUUCUAGUUUUUAGAUUUGAUCUCUGAGUUUUUAAAUUUAUGAAUUUGGUCUUUUUAUGUUGUAAAAUCGUGUAAUGUUGGUAUCAAGUUACAAUUAGACGUUGACGGUUACAAAGAAAUAUUGACUAUCACGUGUCAUGUUGUUCUUAUUGGAUGAUGACUAUCACAUGUCAUGAUUUGAAACUAUCAAAAGAAAAGAAUAAAGGUUUUUCAAUUUUAUCCAAAAAAAGGAGGGAAUGCACCCUUUUUUGAAAAAAUUUCCAAGUAACUGUUUUACGCCUUUGAGCACGUAUAGAUCCUUUGAUUAUGUCUCGCCAAAAAUCCAAUUGUUGGGAAUAACGUAUUAAAGCCAAUUCAUUUUUUUUUUCAGCGUUAUCAGUAUCUCUUGUAGGAUUAUAAGUAUCGUACUUCUUACAAAAAUUAGAUUUAUUAGUCAAAAUGACUACACGUUUGGCUUUUCUAGAACGAAUUUGAUAAUUUUCUGCUUCAUUUUUUCCCUCCCGUUGUUCCAAUUCGUCAAUAAAUUUGUAUGACCAUCGAGGAACUUUUUUACGGAUUUUGUUUAUUCUAAUACACUUUGUUCUAUUUCCAUUUACUAUUGUUUUUUCAUUCAAAUCAGUUCUAAUUGCAUCAAAUAACUUUGGCGACUUACCCAUUCAAUGACUUUGGCACCGGACGUUCCCAAACUGGAAUGUGUAUUAUCGAUAUAGGGGAUCUUUCAAUUGAGAAGAUCCAUCGACCUUAGACGAAGAGAAAGAAAGGUCUAUCUAUUUUUUUGUUUUAGUUAUUCAGUUAAACCAAUGAUUCGUUAUUGGAGCAGAUAGCAACAACCAUCUCAUCUGGGAAAAGCCAUCUUUUUCUCAACAAUGUCUUUGUCAUUUGAUCCAAUAGCGCUUCGUUAGAUAGGAACAAAUUUGAUAAAUAUUGAUAACUCUCAGAUAGAGUAUUAGAACGGAAAAAUCCAUUAGAUAAUGAACUAUUGAUUCUAAGCCAUCUUUGACAAUGAAUCAACAAUUCAAAAUGAUUUUCUUGCGUAUUCUUGAUAAACCAGUGUUUAUAUAUAGAUGUAGGAAGAUCUGUUUGGGAAGUA
rnacentral:lncRNA from 1 species